rnacentral:rRNA from 1 species
UUAGAGUUUGAUCCUGGCUCAGAUUGAACGCUGGCGGCAGGCCUAACACAUGCAAGUCGAGCGGAUGAGGAGAGCUUGCUCUCCGAUUCAGCGGCGGACGGGUGAGUAAUGCCUAGGAAUCUGCCUGGUAGUGGGGGACAACGUUUCGAAAGGAACGCUAAUACCGCAUACGUCCUACGGGAGAAAGUGGGGGAUCUUCGGACCUCACGCUAUCAGAUGAGCCUAGGUCGGAUUAGCUAGUUGGUAGGGUAAUGGCCUACCAAGGCGACGAUCCGUAACUGGUCUGAGAGGAUGAUCAGUCACACUGGAACUGAGACACGGUCCAGACUCCUACGGGAGGCAGCAGUGGGGAAUAUUGGACAAUGGGCGAAAGCCUGAUCCAGCCAUGCCGCGUGUGUGAAGAAGGUCUUCGGAU